rnacentral:lncRNA from 1 species
UUGGGGCAAGUAUGGACACAACAUUCAAGCUUCAUACAGCUCUGAAUUCGGAUUGUGAUUAAAUAGUUGACACAGCAAAGGUUUUUGACACAGAAUGAAUGUGGUCAAGUGAACUUAAAAAUUUUUUUUUUUUUUGCUUUAGAGCAAUUCACUAUGCUGUUGAAUAUAAAUCCCCUCAAAAAAACAUAUUAGAAGAAAAGUUCUUUUUAAUUUCUGAAAUC